UAAAAACAAGAGAGAGGAAGAUCUUUCUGGACUGAGAUCAGAUCUGAAAAAGGAAACAGGUCAGAAUGAUGUUGCUGGAAGCUUUGAAAUCUUGUCCUGCUCCAUACACUAAAGUCAAGUCAAGACAUGACAGAAUAUUAAAGACUCAUUUACGGCAGGAAUAUAUGAGACAUCGUUCAGAGAAAUGUUUCAGUUAAAGGGACCAGGAUCCAGAACACUGUUUUCUCAGAGGAGUUUCAGACAGAAGCUUCACUCAGAUAAUCAUUUGUGUCUUCUUAUGUGUGUUUGCGGUGCUGAUAAACAAAGUGUCUCUUCAGGAAAAAGUUCAGGCUGUUAUUGGUGGUUCUGUUCUCCUGCCGUGUUCUUCCACUGAAGAAGAUCAUAAACCUCAAGACUUCAAUGUGCAUUGGAGACACAAUGGCAGUGAGCUUGUGUAUGAUAUAGUCAAUGGUGAAAAUUCACUAGAGUUACAGAACCUUCGUUACAAGAACAGAACCGAAUGUUUCCCACAGGAGUUUGAGAGAGGAAACUUCUCCAUCAAACUCAACAAUCUCACACUGAUGCUGGAGAAUACAGCUGCCUCAUCCCACCCUCAAAUGAACAGAAGACUAUACUUAUCAUCACUGAAUCAACAACAAGAAAAGGAACCGAAUCGACUGAACAAGAAAAACAAGGAGAAACAGAACCUGACAGUGUGGAAACAUCAUCACCUUGGCUCUGGGUUGGCAUUGCAUCUGUAAUUAUAGUUGUUAGUAUAGUAGUUGUUAGUAUAGUAGCUAAUAAUAAUGAUAAAGCAGUUGGUAUGUGACUCACACAACUGUAACACAGAGUCAGAGGAGGAGAUUGAUUCUUUCAUUUUUGCUGCCACAACUUUCGAUAGAAGAAAGUUAGAAAUAAUCAUAAAAGUGUGUAAAGGAUUUGGUUGAAUAACAGAGAACAAAAUGGAAACGUAGAUUGAGUGAGUGUGUGUUACUGUAUUUCCUGCUGUUCACAUUAUGCCUAUAACAGUUUUAUUGUGCAGCUGUGAGGAUGGAUUUCACAGGGAAACAUCAUUCUUCCUUUCAUUCAUCUGAGCAUGUUUUGUCUCAUAUCUGUAAAUAUAGGAGUGAAGGUCAUCACGCAGUGGAAGUUGUUUAAAGCAACCCGGUCUCAUCCCAAGACGUCAUAUAACUGACGUUUUGGGACGUCUUUUGACCA